GACGAACGCUGGCGGCGUGCUUAACACAUGCAAGUCGAGCGGAAAGGCCUUUCAGGGUACUCGAGCGGCGAACGGGUGAGUAACACGUGAGUAACCUGCCCCUGGCUCUGGGAUAACUGUCGGAAACGAUGGCUAAUACCGGAUAUUCACUUCCUGUCGCAUGGUGGGUGGGGGAAAGUUUUUCGGCUGGGGAGGGGCUCGCGGCCUAUCAGCUUGUUGGUGGGGUGAUGGCCUACCAAGGCUUCGACGGGUAGCCGGCCUGAGAGGGCGACCGGCCACACUGGGACUGAGACACGGCCCAGACUCCUACGGGAGGCAGCAGUGGGGAAUAUUGCACAAUGGGCGGAAGCCUGAUGCAGCGACGCCGCGUGAGGGAUGACGGCCUUCGGGUUGUAAACCUCUUUCAGCAGGGACGAAGCGUGAGUGACGGUACCUGCAGAAGAAGCGCCGGCCAACUACGUGCCAGCCGCCGCCGUAACAC
rnacentral:rRNA from 1 species